UACGUAGGCAGCGAGCGUUGUUCGGAAUUACUGGGCGUAAAGAGUGUGUAGGCGGUGCUCUAAGUUCGGUGUGAAAUCUCCUGGCUCAACUGGGAGGGUGCGCCGGAAACUGGAGUGCUUGAGCGUGGGAGAGGAAAGCGGAAUUCCUGGUGUAGCGGUGAAAUGCGUAGAUAUCAGGAGGAACACCUGUGGUGUAGACGGCUUUCUGGACCAUGGCUGACGCUGAGACACGAAAGCGUGGGUAGCAAACAGG
rnacentral:rRNA from 1 species